rnacentral:rRNA from 1 species
AACGCGAAGAACCUUACCCAGAAUGACAUGUAGAGGAAGAGUACAGAGAUGUACUCGCCCGCAAGGGUCUUUACACAGGUGCUGCAUGGCUGUCGUCAGCUCGUGCCGUGAGGUGUUGGGUUAAGUCCCGCAACGAGCGCAACCCUUAUUGUUAGUUGCCAGCACGUAAUGGUGGGGACUCUAACGAGACUGCCUGGGUGAACCAGGAGGAAGGUGAGGAUGACGUCAAGUCAGCAUGGCCCUUAUGUCUGGGGCUACACACGUGCUACAAUGGUCGGUACAGAGGGUCGCUAAGUGGUGACACGGAGCAAAUCCUUAAAGCCGGCCUCAGUUCAGAUUGUAGUCUGCAACUCGACUACAUGAAGUUGGAAUUGCUAGUAAUGGCGGGUCAGCAACACCGCCGUGAAUACGUUCCCGGGCCUUGUACACACCGCACGA